rnacentral:rRNA from 1 species
UACGGAGGGUGCAAGCGUUAUCCGGAUUCACUGGGUUUAAAGGGUGCGUAGGCGGCUAUUUAAGUCAGUGGUGAAAGCUCGCAGCUUAACUGUGAAACUGCCAUUGAAACUGAAUAGCUUGAGUACGAUUGAUGUGGGCGGAAUAUAUCAUGUAGCGGUGAAAUGCUUAGAUAUGAUAUAGAACACCGAUUGCGAAGGCAGCUCACAAAAUCGCAACUGACGCUGAGGCACGAAAGCGUGGGGAGCAAACAG